rnacentral:rRNA from 1 species
GUAGGUGGCAAGCGUUGUCCGGAAUUAUUGGGCGUAAAGCGCGCGCAGGCGGUCCUUUAAGUCUGAUGUGAAAGCCCACGGCUCAACCGUGGAGGGUCAUUGGAAACUGGGGGACUUGAGUACAGAAGAGGAAAGCGGAAUUCCAAGUGUAGCGGUGAAAUGCGUAGAGAUUUGGAGGAACACCAGUGGCGAAGGCGGCUUUCUGGUCUGUAACUGACGCUGAGGCGCGAAAGCGUGGGGAGCAAACAGGAUUAGAUACCCUGGUAGUCCACGCCGUAAACGAUGAGUGCUAGGUGUUAGGGGGUUUCCCGCCCCCCUUAGUGCUGCAGCUAACGCAUUAAGCACUCCGCCUGGGGAGUACGGCCGCAAGGCUG